GCCUACGGGGGGCAGCAGUAGGGAAUUUUCGUCAAUGGGCGCAAGCCUGAACGAGCAAUGCCGCGUGAACGAGGAAGGUCUUCGGAUCGUAAAGUUCUGUUGAAGGGGAAAAAGAGCGGAGAGAGGAAAUGGUCUCCGAUUGAUAUUACCCUUCGAGGAAGUCACGGCUAACUACGUGCCAGCAGCCGCGGUAAUACGUAGGUGGCGAGCGUUAUCCGGAAUGAUUGGGCGUAAAGGGUGCAUAGGCGGCCUGCUAAGUCUGGAGUGAAAGGUACCGGCUCAACCGGUACAGGCUCUGGAAACUG
rnacentral:rRNA from 1 species